rnacentral:rRNA from 1 species
UACGGGGGGGGGCAAGCGUUGUUCGGAAUUACUGGGCGUAAAGGGCUCGUAGGCGGCCAACUAAGUCAGACGUGAAAUCCCUCGGCUUAACCGGGGAACUGCGUCUGAUACUGGAUGGCUUGAGUUUGGGAGAGGGAUGCGGAAUUCCAGGUGUAGCGGUGAAAUGCGUAGAUAUCUGGAGGAACACCGGUGGCGAAGGCGGCAUCCUGGACCAACACUGACGUUGAGGAGCGAAAGCCAGGGGAGCAAACGGG